GUCCACGCUGUAAACGAUGAGAACUAGGUGUCGUGGGUGUUGACCCCCGCGGUGCCGUAGCUAACGCAUUAAGUUCUCCGCCUGGGAAGUACGGUCGCAAGAUUAAAACUCAAAGGAAUUGACGGGGGCCCGCACAAGCGGUGGAGCAUGUGGUUUAAUUCGACGCAACGCGCAGAACCUUACCCAGACUUGACAUCCUGGAAAGCCGGCCCAAAAGUCGGCGUGCCCGCAAGGGAAUCCAGAGACAGGUGCUGCAUGGCUGUCGU
rnacentral:rRNA from 1 species